UGGCUCAGUAGGUAGAGCAUGGUGAUUGCAAUGCCAGCAUGGUGUGUGCAAUGCCAGGGUUGUGGGUUCGAUUCCCAC
rnacentral:tRNA from 1 species